rnacentral:rRNA from 1 species
UACGGAGGGUGCAAGCGUUAUCCGGAUUCACUGGGUUUAAAGGGUGCGUAGGCGGGUAGGUAAGUCUGUGGUGAAAUCCCCAAGCUUAACUUGGGAACUGCCAUGGAUACUAUUUAUCUUGAAUAUUGUGGAGGUGAGCGGAAUAUGUCAUGUAGCGGUGAAAUGCUUAGAUAUGACAUAGAACACCAAUUGCGAAGGCAGCCUGCUACACAAUUAUUGACGCUGAGGCACGAAAGCGUGGGGAUCAAACAGG